UACGGAGGGUGCGAGCGUUGUCCGGAAUCACUGGGCGUAAAGGGCGCGUAGGUGGCGCAGUAAGUCAACGGUGAAAGUUCGGGGCUCAACCCUGAAUCGGCCGUCGAUACUCCUGGGCUCGAGCACUGUAGAGGCAGAUGGAAUUCCGGGUGUAGCGGUGGAAUGCGUAGAUAUGUCACAGAACACCAAUUGCGAAGGCAGCUUACUAAAGUAUGAUUGACGCUGAGGCACGAAAGCGUGGGGAUCAAACAGG
rnacentral:rRNA from 1 species